AUUGCACAAUGGGCGCAAGCCUGAUGCAGCGACGCCGCGUGAGGGAUGACGGCCUUCGGGUUGUAAACCUCUUUCAGCAGGGAAGAAGCCGUAAAACGUGACGGUACCUGCAGAAGAAGCACCGGCUAACUACGUGCCAGCAGCCGCGGUAAUACGUAGGGUGCGAGCGUUGUCCGGAAUUAUUGGGCGUAAAGAGCUCGUGGGCGGCCUGUCGCGUCGGAUGUGAAAGCCCGGGGCUUAACCCCGGGUUGGCAUUCGAUACGGGCAGGCUAGAGUUCGGUAGGGGAGAUCGGAAUUCCUGGUGUAGCGGUGAAAUGCGCAGAUAUCAGGAGGAACACCGGUGGCGAAGGCGGAUCUCUGGGCCGAUACUGACGCUGAGGAGCGAAAGCAUGGGGAGCGAACAG
rnacentral:rRNA from 1 species